AGUUCCCAGGAGGAAGCG
rnacentral:snRNA from 1 species